GGUUAAGCGACUAAGCGUACACGGUGGAUGCCCUGGCAGUCAGAGGCGAUGAAGGACGUGCUAAUCUGCGAAAAGCGUCGGUAAGGUGAUAUGAACCGUUAUAACCGGCGAUGUCCGAAUGGGGAAACCCAGUGUGAUUCGUCACACUAUCGUUAACUGAAUACAUAGGUUAACGAGGCGAACCGGGGGAACUGAAACAUCUAAGUACCCCGAGGAAAAGAAAUCAACCGAGAUUCCCCCAGUAGCGGCGAGCGAACGGGGAGCAGCCCAGAGUCUGAAUCAGCUUGUGUGUUAGUGGAACGGUCUGGAAAGUCCGACGGUACAGGGUGAUAGUCCCGUACACCAAAAUGCACAGGCUGUGAACUCGAAGAGUAGGGCGGGACACGUGGUAUCCUGUCUGAAUAUGGGGGGACCAUCCUCCAAGGCUAAAUACUCCUGACUGACCGAUAGUGAACCAGUACCGUGAGGGAAAGGCGAAAAGAACCCCGGCGAGGGGAGUGAAAAAGAACCUGAAACCGUGUACGUACAAGCAGUGGGAGCACCUUCGGGUGUGACUGCGUACCUUUUGUAUAAUGGGUCAGCGACUUAUAUUCUGUAGCAAGGUUAACCGUAUAGGGGAGCCGCAGGGAAACCGAGUCUUAACUGGGCGUUAAGUUGCAGGGUAUAGACCCGAAACCCGGUGAUCUAGCCAUGGGCAGGUUGAAGGUUGGGUAACACUAACUGGAGGACCGAACCGACUAAUGUUGAAAAAUUAGCGGAUGACUUGUGGCUGGGGGUGAAAGGCCAAUCAAACCGGGAGAUAGCUGGUUCUCCCCGAAAGCUAUUUAGGUAGCGCCUCGUGAAUUCAUCUUCGGGGGUAGAGCACUGUUUCGGCUAGGGGGUCAUCCCGACUUACCAACCCGAUGCAAACUACGAAUACCGAAGAAUGUUAUCACGGGAGACACACGGCGGGUGCUAACGUCCGUCGUGAAGAGGGAAACAACCCAGACCGCCAGCUAAGGUCCCAAAGUCAUGGUUAAGUGGGAAACGAUGUGGGAAGGCACAGACAGCCAGGAUGUUGGCUUAGAAGCAGCCAUCAUUUAAAGAAAGCGUAAUAGCUCACUGGUCGAGUCGGCCUGCGCGGAAGAUGUAACGGGGCUAAACCAUGCACCGAAGCUGCGGCAGCGACACUAUGUGUUGUUGGGUAGGGGAGCGUUCUGUAAGCCUGCGAAGGUGUGCUGUGAGGCAUGCUGGAGGUAUCAGAAGUGCGAAUGCUGACAUAAGUAACGAUAAAGCGGGUGAAAAGCCCGCUCGCCGGAAGACCAAGGGUUCCUGUCCAACGUUAAUCGGGGCAGGGUGAGUCGACCCCUAAGGCGAGGCCGAAAGGCGUAGUCGAUGGGAAACAGGUUAAUAUUCCUGUACUUGGUGUUACUGCGAAGGGGGGACGGAGAAGGCUAUGUUAGCCGGGCGACGGUUGUCCCGGUUUAAGCAUGUAGGCUGGUUGUCCAGGCAAAUCCGGAUAAUCAAGGCUGAGGUGUGAUGACGAGGCACUACGGUGCUGAAGUAACAAAUGCCCUGCUUCCAGGAAAAGCCUCUAAGCAUCAGGUAACAUCAAAUCGUACCCCAAACCGACACAGGUGGUCAGGUAGAGAAUACCAAGGCGCUUGAGAGAACUCGGGUGAAGGAACUAGGCAAAAUGGUGCCGUAACUUCGGGAGAAGGCACGCUGGUGUGUAGGUGAAGUCCCUGCGGAUGGAGCUGAGACCAGUCGAAGAUACCAGCUGGCUGCAACUGUUUAUUAAAAACACAGCACUGUGCAAACACGAAAGUGGACGUAUACGGUGUGACGCCUGCCCGGUGCCGGAAGGUUAAUUGAUGGGGUUAUCCGUAAGGAGAAGCUCUUGAUCGAAGCCCCGGUAAACGGCGGCCGUAACUAUAACGGUCCUAAGGUAGCGAAAUUCCUUGUCGGGUAAGUUCCGACCUGCACGAAUGGCGUAAUGAUGGCCAGGCUGUCUCCACCCGAGACUCAGUGAAAUUGAACUCGCUGUGAAGAUGCAGUGUACCCGCGGCAAGACGGAAAGACCCCGUGAACCUUUACUAUAGCUUGACACUGAACAUUGAGCCUUGAUGUGUAGGAUAGGUGGGAGGCUUUGAAGCGUGGACGCCAGUCUGCGUGGAGCCAACCUUGAAAUACCACCCUUUAAUGUUUGAUGUUCUAACGUUGGCCCCUGACCGGGGUUGCGGACAGUGUCUGGUGGGUAGUUUGACUGGGGCGGUCUCCUCCCAAAGCGUAACGGAGGAGCACGAAGGUUAGCUAAUCCUGGUCGGACAUCAGGAGGUUAGUGCAAUGGCAUAAGCUAGCUUGACUGCGAGCGUGACGGCGCGAGCAGGUGCGAAAGCAGGUCAUAGUGAUCCGGUGGUUCUGAAUGGAAGGGCCAUCGCUCAACGGAUAAAAGGUACUCCGGGGAUAACAGGCUGAUACCGCCCAAGAGUUCAUAUCGACGGCGGUGUUUGGCACCUCGAUGUCGGCUCAUCACAUCCUGGGGCUGAAGUAGGUCCCAAGGGUAUGGCUGUUCGCCAUUUAAAGUGGUACGCGAGCUGGGUUUAGAACGUCGUGAGACAGUUCGGUCCCUAUCUGCCGUGGGCGCUGGAGAAUUGAGGGGGGCUGCUCCUAGUACGAGAGGACCGGAGUGGACGCAUCACUGGUGUUCGGGUUGUCAUGCCAAUGGCACUGCCCGGUAGCUAAAUGCGGAAGAGAUAAGUGCUGAAAGCAUCUAAGCACGAAACUUGCCCCGAGAUGAGUUCUCCCUGA
rnacentral:rRNA from 1 species